GCUCUAACAGUCCCCUGGACCCCGACAGUUCAUCAAAGGGCCAUUCAAACAGACAGCCCCGUCUCCACACCUGCGCUCACACACUUGGUUUUAUCCUGUGUGUGUGUGUGUGUGUGUUGUCCUGUACACGAAAGCCACCUACAAAAGUAUUGCGUGUUCCUAGGAGCUACUCAUAGUUCCUAGAGUCGAAAAAGCCACAAGCAGGAAGUGUAACGUUAGAAUGGUCACUACCCAGAGUUCUAUAGUUCUUUGUACACCAAAGCUGCCUUGAAAAAAAAGUUGAACAUUAAAAUGGAGACCAUCCAGUCCCCGUAGGAGGAAGAGGAAGGAGCUAUCCAGUCCCCGUAGGAGGAAGAGGAAGGAGCUAUCCAGUCCCCGUAAGAGGAAGAGGAAGGAGCUAUCCAGUCCCCGUAAGAGGAAGGAGCUAUCCAGUCCCCGUAAGAGGAAGAGGAAGGAGCUAUCCGGUCCCCGUAAGAGGAAGGAGCUAUCCAGUCCCCGUAAGAGGAAGAGGAAGGAGCUAUCCAGUCCCCGUAGGAGGAAGAGGAAGGAGCUAUCCAGUCCCCGUAAGAGGAAGAGGAAGGAGCUAUCCAGUCCCCGUAAGAGGAAGAGGAAGGAGCUAUCCAGUCCCCGUAAGAGGAAGGAGCUAUCCAGUCCCUGUAAGAGGAAGAGGAAGGAGCUAUCCAGUCCCCGUAAGAGGAAGAGGAAGGAGCUAUCCAGUCCCCGUAGGAGGAAGAGGAAGGAGCUAUCCAGUCCCCGUAAGAGGAAGAGGAAGGAGCUAUCCAGUCCCCGGAAGAGGAAGGAGCUAUCCAGUCCCCGUAAGAGGAAGAGGAAGGAGCUAUCCAGUCCCCGUAAGAGGAAGAGGAAGGAGCUAUCCAGUCCCCGUAAGAGGAAGAGGAAGGAGCGCAGGACGUGUAGCGAGGCGCCCCCUACAGGACAGAUGUCCCAACUGCAGCCCUGAGUCUGAGGGGUGAUGGGAUCAGGUGAGGCCCCUCGGGGAGAGGCCCCAGAUGUGUGUGUGUGUGAGGCUGUGUUGGUUCAGGAGAGGACCCAGAUGUGUGUGUGAGGCUGUGUUGGUUCAGGAGAGGACCCAGGUGUGUGUGAGGCUGUGUCGGGGAGAGGAGAGGACCCAGGUGUGUGUGAGGCCCCAGGUGUGUGUGUGAGGCGUGUCGGGGGCGGUGCAUUAGCUGGGGCGGAUCUCCAAACUGAGACAGAAUGAGAAGCAGGUGUGAAAGUGGAGACGCCCUCUGACCUCGACGUGUGAACUUUGACCUCCAUCUUGCUAAUCCUCACUAGAGCAGGACCAGUCGAGGCCACAAUACAGUACUUCUAUCUCCCUCUUCCCACACACACACACGCGCACGCUCACGCUCUUGUGGAGCAGAAUGAAGUCUGAGCUC
ensembl:lncRNA